AAAACUCCUCUCUCACGUAUCGUGCGUGCAUUAGCCAAUUGACCCAUUUGAACUUCUAAAUUUCUAAUGGAAGCACACAUGGUUUUGAAGGGUCGUCUCCAUCCUACUUAUGAAUUGAUUUGUAUUUGUGGGAGAACGAUGCUCGAAGGUGACGUCGGAAUUGUUGGGAUAUCACGGUCUCCCAUUGUUUCAUUCGGUUCCAAUUCAACUAGUUGGCUAAUUGAAGAGUGGGUACCAGUCAUUCACCGUAUGCUCAGAAACGAACUUGUUGUACCUGCAAACAAGGGCAAAUGAUUGUUUAAAUAAAGAGAAGAUGAUAGAAUUGAAGAAGGAAAUAAAACCCAAACACAAUUAGAAAAAGAAACUUUAAUUGUAAAAGGAAAAGAAUAUUAAAUUGAGAAAGGAGUUGGAAUCCUGUUGUGAAGUGGGAAUUAUGCGUUCCAGGAGUUCUCCAAGUCCAAGUAGUAGACUUGGAGUUGCUGCGUCAAACCUUCUUUCUUUAGAGAUAUACUGUAAACAAAUAUCUUACUUAACUUAGGGCUCGUCUGGUAAUGUUUUCGGAGAAUGUUUUCAAAGAAUAUUUCAGAGAAUGAAAAUGAGAAAACGAAUUUGCA